UAAAUUUUUACCACACAUAUCUCACCAUUUGUAUAAAUAACAUGCAGUGUAUAAUCUCAUAUUCUAGUCACAUUGAAAAAUCCCUCUGGAUUGCUUCCUGCAGUGGAAAGACGGUUUUGCCUGUUCUUUCCAUGCCUCUGUCACCUUGAGGAAGAGUUGCCCGCCUUUCCCACGUGUCGAUCAUCGAUGGACCUGCUUUCGACUUCUCUGCUUUCGCUUCUCUCUAUCGCCCUUCUCAGUUUCUGCUAUUCUUAACUCUAGCUUUCUCUGUCUCCAAAAUGGUGAUUUUUCUCGCCCUCCAACCUUUCAUCUUUCUCUCACGAAUUAUCGACAACGGUGUUUUCUUGCCGGAAAAAUCACUCAGCCGCUACAACUUUUUUCAGGUUUUCAAUUAGAUUCGUUUCAAUUUGUUUCCCAGAAAUGUUGGCAUUUCCUGUUGAGUUUUACGGCUUUCUCAGUGCUCGAAUCCUCUUCUUCUUCUUCUUCACCCAAACCAGCAGCCCCACCUUUGAUUGUUACCGACGGAAACACCACGAAUUGAGGCUCAACAUCAAUACUGUAACAGUUAUAAGAAAAGAGCUCCAAACCCGCAAAGUAGGGGAAAAUGGAAUGAGGCGAUUGAAUGAGGCAGUGCGGAUAAAUUUCUUUAGUUGUUGCCAUGAUAAAUGAGGGUUUACUUUGAUGCCAAGGUUAUGAAAAAAGAGCGGUUUGUACAGUAGCCAUGUACAUAUAAGUAUAUAUUUUCUCUGUGUGUGUUUGUAUCAUUUGUUUUGAUUGUGAUUCUUGGUUUUGUGAUUAGGAUUUUUGGAAGGAGGCUUCGAUUCGAUUGUUGGAACAGACAAUAUUUAUCAAGUCUUCGAUGGGUCAGUAGAAGCUGACUGCUUGCGAAGACAAGAACAUGAGUAUAUAUUGCAUUGGAAUUUAUUGCGCUGGUUGCAAAAACAGUUGAGUGCUGCUGUUUGUCUCUUCAUGGUUUCGUCAAGCUCUAAAAAACACUGAAAAGAAUCAAACUUAUGGAGAUUGUUAUGGAAGCACUUUACAUGAGCUACAAAGUGCUCUUGGUCAAAUAGAGAAAAAAAAGAAAGGUUUCACACAGGUACAAACAAGUUGCCGCUUCAACAAAUAGGUUUCACACAGUGACACGCUCCAAUCCCGAUGUCCAGAAGACAGCGGGAUGGCCACGUGCUAGCCGACACCUGAGGAUGACGCAAGCCAUUUAAUGAAUGCAUAUACCGAGAACAUGUGAAACAUGCAUAUAAAUUUCGUGCAAACUACACAAUGUAAUAUUCAAAUAUAACCUUACCAAAAUAAUAUAAUAAUAUUCAGCUGUCAAA